rnacentral:lncRNA from 1 species
CACACACAAAAAACACAGCUACUGUCUUUUAGAAGGGCCCACCCAUUUAAUAGAUAUUGCUGGCUUGUCAGUUUUUCUGCCAUCACCACCACAGCUGCUAUUGUAAUAGAUAUGUCAAAGUAUGUAUCCUGACUUUAAUACUUUAUUCAAUAUUUAAAGUCCAGGGAAAGGGUUUUUGAUUGGCUGCAAUUAGAUCAUGUGUCCAACCUCCUGAUCCUCUCAGCCCUAUAGGCGGAGUUAUGAAAUGGAACAGUGGAAGAUGGGCACAGGGAUUUAUCACUGUGCCAAUACUACACAUAAUGAAGAAGUAGUAAAUUCCCAAAAGUAAACUGAAAUGUUAUUAGGAAGGAUGUGGUUUCUGGCAGCCAAAAAUCCCUCAAUUUGAGCAAUGUCUGCUAUAAGCCCUCUUUCAUGUCAAUUAUGGGUUCCACUUGCAUUACCUACUUCUCACCUGUGACACUGCACAUAAUCUUUUCUUAUAUAAACUGGCUUUGCAGUUUUAUGUCCCUGGUACUGUUGGAAUCAAGUACACUAUCUUGGUUACUGGAAAGUAGAUAUUAAUAGAAUAAAAUAUAAGAAAUGUAAGAUUAGCAUCCCACUUCAAUAUUGUUCAUCUUCCUCAUAGAUUAAAAAAAAGACACUAAUGAUUUCACUAUUUCCCAUGCAUGAACCUGAGAACAGAGGAAUGCCAAAUUGCCUAGAAUUCCCUGGCUGCUGCAUUCUUUAAACUGUAUCUACCUAGGGGUCACUUAUAAAAUGAUGUUGCAUUGAAAACAGAUGGAAUUAUCUCAUACUGUAUUGGAAGAACAUUGCAUGCCCUAGUGAUUUAUUUACUCCCUCAUCUCUGUCCUGAUUCCAUUCUUUUCUCAUCUGUACUUGUGUUUCACUACGGCCUUAGCUCUGACUUUAGUAACAUGAUUAAUAACCUAAUUUGGGCUGGGACUGUAUUUCUUCAGUCUGUCUUCUGUUUGCUUCUUAAAACCAUGAACUACAUUGCUCAAUUCCUUGUUUCAUCUAUUCCAGACACUUUGAGUUACAGAAGUUUUAUUUAUGUUCCUGAGAUGGGAUCCACUCUCUGCUGUGCUUCAGGCCAGUCCAGCAUCUUUUCCUCAUGACCAAAACAGUUUGUCAAGAAGUAUUUUUUUCAAUUGCUCACAGAAAAUUGAUUCUCUGUAGCUGGCAUGUUUCUGUUUGUUCUGAUCUUUUGCUUCCCUCUAGCGGCCAAUGUUUGCAUAUGUAUAUGAGGCUAGCAAACUGUGUGUGUGUGUGUGUGUGUGUGUGUGUGUGUGUGUGUGUGUGUGUGUGUGUAUAAAAUUGAUGGAAUUUCUAUGGUUUCCGUCUCAUCACUCCAUUGCUAGCCAUAUAUAUAUGCACACACAUAUAUGUGUAUAUAUGUUUAUAUAUGAUCUAUAUGUGUAUAUAUUUGAUAUAUAUCAUAUAUAUGAUUUAUGUGUCUCAUAUAUCAUAUAUAUGGAUGUAUACAUUGUGAAACCCAAAAAUCUGAGACAGGUCUCAUUUAAAUUAGAAAGUUUAUUUUGCCAAGGUUGAGGACGCGCGCCCGUGACACAGCCUCAGGUGGUCCUAACAACAUGUGCCUUCCCAAGGUGGUAGGAGCACGGUUUGGUUUUAUACAUUCUAGGGAGACAUGAGACAUCAAUCAACAUAUGCAAGAUGAACAUUGGUUCGGUCUGGAAAGACGGGAUAACACGAAGCAAAGGCUGUAUAUGUCAGAGGAUAUCAUAUCUGAUCAAAAGAAAAAAAAGAUCAAGACAAGAUGAAAAGAACCAAAAUGGUCUGAGCCUGCUGAAGUCAGUUGGUGAAGCAAGAGAAGACAGGCAGAAUAAGAUGGCAGAGAAAGACUCUCCAGCGACCAUCCCUCAAUAGAAACAUCAAUUUGAACAACUAUCCACACAUGAAACAAAUCUUCGUAAGACUCAGGAAACCAGGUGCAGGACAAAGGACAGACAGAACUCAGUCAACCCUCUGCUCACCUGAGAAAAAGUGCAUAUCUAAUUGCUUCUUUGGCCCUAUUGUUUAUGCAAGAAUGCUGAUUCAUUUGUCUAUUUUGGCUUUUGUUGCCAUUGCUUUUGGUGUUUUAGUCAUGAAGUUGUUGCCCAUGCCUAUGUCCUGAAUGAUAUUGCCUAGGUUUUCUUCUAGGGUUUUUAUGGUUUUAGGUCUUACAUUUAAGUCUUUAAUCCAUCUAGAGUUAAUUUUUGUAUACGGUGUAAGGAAGGGAUCCAGUUUCAGCUUUCUGUAUAGGGCUAGCCAGAUUUCCCAACACCAUUUAUUAAAUAGGGAAUCCAUUGGGAUCUAAUUAAACUAAACAGCUUCUGCACAGCAGAGGAAACUAUCACCAGAAUGAACAGGCAACCUACAGAAUGGGAGAAAAUUGUUGCAAUAUAUCCAUCUGACAAAGAGCUAAUAUCCAGAAUCUACAAAGAACUUAAACAAACUUACAAGAAAAAAACAACCCCAUCAAAAAGUGGGCAAAGGAUAUGAACAGACACUUCUCAAAAUAAAACAUUUAUGCAGCCAACAAACAUAUGAAAAAAAGCUCAUCAUCACUGGUCAUUAGAGAAAUGCAAAUCAAAACCACAAUGAGAUACCAUCUUACACCAGUUAGAAUGGUGAUCAUUAAAAAGUCAGGAAACAACAGAUGCUGGUGAGGAUGUGGAGGGAUAAGAACGCUUUUACACUGUUACUGGGAGUGUAAAUUAGUUCAACCAUUGUGGAAGACAGUGUGGCAAUUUCUCAAGGAUCUAGAACUAGAAAUACCAUUUGACCCAGCAAUCCUAUUUCUGGGUAUAUACCCAAAGGAUUAUAAAUCAUUCUACUAUAAAGACACAUGCACACGUAUGUUUAUUGUGGCACUGUUCACAGUAGCAAAGACUUGGAACCAACUCAAAUUCUCAUCAAUGAUAGACUGGAUAAAGAAAAUGUGGCACAGAUAUGCCAUGGAAUACUAUGCAGCCAUAAAAAGGAUGAGUUCAUGUCCUGUGCAGGGACAUGGGUGAAGCUGGAAACCAUCAUCCUCAGCAAAGUAACACAAGAACAGAAAACCAAACACUGCAUGUUCUCACUCAUAAGUGGGAGUUGAACAAUGAGAACACAUGGACACAGGGAGGGGAACAUCCCACCAGAGCCUAGUGGAGGGUGGGGGCUAGGGGAGGGAUAGUAUUGGGAAAAAUACCUAAUGUAGAUGAUGGUUUGAUGGUUGCAGCAAAUCACCAUGGCAUGUGUAUACCUAGGUAACAAAUCUGCACAUUCGGCACAUGUACCCCAGCACUUAAAGUAUAAUAAAAAAAAGCCAAAAAGAAAUGCAGAUUCACUAGGCCUGUCCAAAGCAUAAGUCACUUUCCUCUAUGCCACCUCAUAUGUAAAUUUUGUAUUUAAUGAAAGGCUAAUCACAGUAUUCAGUGAAAAGCUAAUGAGAGACUCAAAAGAAU